rnacentral:rRNA from 1 species
UUACCAGGGUUGACAUGCAAGUGGUAGGAAUCCGAAGGUGACCGACCCUUCGGGGAGCUUGCACAGGUGCUGCAUGGCUGUCGUCAGCUCGUGUCGUGAGAUGUUCGGUUAAGUCCGCUAACGAGCGCAACCCUCGUCGUGUGUUAUACGUGUCACACGAUACUGCCGGUAUCAAGCCGGAGGAAGGUGGGGAUGAUGUCAAGUCAGCAUGGCCUUUAUAUCCUGGGCUACACACACGCUACAAUGGCAGAUACAAUAGGUUGCGAAACCGCGAGGUGGAGCCAAUCCUCAAAGUCUGUCUCAGUUCAGAUUGUAGGCUGCAACUCGCCUGCAUGAAGUUGGAGUUGCUAGUAAACGCAGGUCAGCUAUACUGCGUUGAAUACGUUCCCGGGGUUU